UACGUAGGGGGCAAGCGUUGUCCGGAUUUAUUGGGCGUAAAGAGCGUGUAGGCGGUCAGGUAGGUCCGUUGUGAAAACUCGAGGCUCAACCUCGAGACGCCGAUGGAAACCAUCUGACUAGAGUCCGGAAGAGGAGAGUGGAAUUCCUGGUGUAGCGGUGAAAUGCGCAGAUAUCAGGAAGAACACCCGUGGCUAAGGCGGCUCUCUGGGCAUGUCCUGACGCUGAGGAGCGAAAGUGUGGGGAGCGAACAGG
rnacentral:rRNA from 1 species